GAAAAAUAUGUUACCUACAAAUUUUGCUUUCCUUUUAGCACUUUGGCUUUCAGCCUUCUUUCUUGAGCACGCAGAGUUAAGGAAACUCUCUCCUGAAAUCUACCGAACAUCAACUGGUUGUACGAAUUGCACGCUUUGUCAAUACCCAUGUCAUCCUCUUGCUCCACCACCCCCAUCGCUUCCCAACAACCCACCAUAUGGAAUACCACCUCCACCAUAUCCAAUUUCUGGUUAUCCUCCUUAUGGAACUCCGCCAUCUCAAGUCGAUUGCACACAAUUUCCAGACCAGUGCUGCCUUCACCCCCCACCAUAUCCUCUUGGAUAUCAGCCCUACGAGAACUAUGCUGCUUUCUGCUCUCCUUUUUUUUUCAUAUUAGUUGUGUCAUUGGUAUUCUCCAUUACAGUUAUGCUCUAGGUUUAUAUGCUUUAUCAUUCCCCAGGUUUCAUUGUCUAGGACUGUCUAGCCUAUCAAACUGUGAUUUGUAAUAAAGCCUUUGUUUCAGCACCAUAUUACUUGUUUUCAGUGUUCGACAUGUAAGCAGUUAUCCUGUUCGGUGUUAGGUUUCAUUAUUAAGGAGUACAUAAAACUGUGUGUGGUUUGUAAUGAUAAAGCCUUGCUAUUGAUGGCACUGCUCUUUCUUCUUCGUCUUAUUGUUAUUAUUAUU
rnacentral:misc_RNA from 1 species